rfam:Taenia asiatica genome assembly, scaffold: TASK_scaffold0000609
GUUGGAUAUGGUGAUAUGAGUCCAACAACCACAUGGGGCAAAGUGAUUGGAUCCGGUUGCGCUCUCUGUGGAGUGCUUGUGCUCGCCAUGCCAAUUCCGAUAAUUGUAAACAAC